rnacentral:rRNA from 1 species
AUUGAACGCUGGCGGCAGGCCUAACACAUGCAAGUCGAACGAGUGGCGGACGGGUGAGUAAUGUGUGGGAAACUGCCCGAUGGAGGGGGAUAACUACUGGAAACGGUAGUUAAUCCUGCAUACAGUCGGAUGUGCCCAGAUGGGGUUAGCUAGUGGGUGGGGUACCGGCUCACCUAGGCGACGAUGCCUAGCUGGUCUGAGAGGUUGAUCAGCCACACUGGAACUGAGACACGGUCCAGACUCCUACGGGAGGCAGCAGUGGGGAAUAUUGCACAAUGGGCGAAAGCCUGAUCCAGCCAUGCCGCGUGUGUGAAGAAGGCCUUCGGAUUGUAAAGUACUUUCAGCGGGGAGGCGUUACUCGCAGAAGAAGCACCGGCUAACUCCGUGCCAGCCGCCGCGGUAAUAC